rnacentral:lncRNA from 1 species
CGCUGCUGCUGGGUGGAGCUCCCUGAAGACAGAGAGUGAACCCUUGGUUUUCGCCAUGUAGAGGUCUGCUGUGCUGAGACUCAUGGCAAACCCCAGGAGCCACCUAUGAUGUGCCAGACACAUAAGCCCCUCCCUCACAGGCGUGGGUGCAGCCGGGGCCGACCGCAUUCCAAGGAGCAUUUCCUCUGAAAGCCAGGCCAAGUGCCCGCUCUCCAGCGGCAGACCCCACAGGCAGGGGUCAUGCAUGGGGGAGUUCAAAACCUAGUUCAUCAGGUUCUUUCCUCCAGGAUUUUGGUCUAGGCAACAUCAGAUGAAAACGAACACUAAGGGCAAUCCUGAAGAACCAAAAGAAACUGGCAAUGGACAGGGGUGAAUUGCAUCCUGUACUGUUUACAGCCUUAUCUCCAACUUUUGCAGAGUCAAGAAUUUAAAAGCAGCAGGGCUUGGUGGCCCAUGCCUGUAAUCCCAAUAUUUUGGGAGGCCGCAGCGGGAGGAUCACUUGAGGCCAGGAGUUCCAGACCUCCCUGGGCAACAUGAUGAGACCACAUCUCUACAGAAAAAUUAGCUGGGCAUGCUGGCAUGUGCCUGUAGUCCCAGCUCCUCAAGAGGCUGAGGUGGGAGGAUCACUUGAGCCCAGGAGGUCAAGGCUGCAGUGAGCUAUGAUCACACCAAUGCACUCUAGCCUGGGGACACAGUGAGACCCUGUCUCAAAAAAAAAAAAAAGAGGAAUUUAAAAGCAUUUACUACUAUCUAGUGUACUAUAUACUUAUUAUUAGUUUAUUUUUGGUCUCCCUCACCAGAAUGUAGGCUCCUUAAAGGCAGUAGUAUUGCACAUAAUAGGGACUAAUAUACCUUUAUUGAAUUAAUUAAUGAGGGCCAAGAUAUCUCAUGUAUUGGGUAUCUACUAUGUGCCAAGCCUUUUACUAGGUGCUUUACACACACAUUUAUAUUGUGCCACUUAAAACUUAUAGUAACUCUAAAAGAUGAUGGCUGGGUGCACUGGCCCACACCUGUAAUCCCAGCAAGUUGGGAGCCCAAGGUGGGAGGAUGGCUUGAGGCCAGGAGUUUGACACCAGCAGGGAGAACAUAGCAAGACCUCAUCUCUACAAAAUUAAAAAAAAAAAUACAAAAAUUAGCCGAGUGUGGUGGUGCACACCUGUAGUCCCAGGUACUUGGGAGGUUGAGGUGGGAGGAUCACUUGAGCCCAGGAGGUUGAGGCUGCAGUGAGCUAUGAUUGUACCACUGCGCUCCAGCUCAGAUAACAGAGCCAGACCCUAUCUCUAAAAUUUAAAUAAAUAAAUAAAUAAAUAAAUAAAUAAAUAAAUAAAUAAUGUCUAUUAUCCCCAUUUUGAAAAAAAAAAAAAAUCUGAGAGAAGGCCAGACACCAUGGCUCAAACCUGUAGACAGAGACGGGCAGAAGGCUUGGUCAAGAGUUCGAGACCAGCCUGGCUAACAUGGUGAAAACCCCUGCCUCUACUAAAAAUACAAAAAUUAGCCAAGUAUGAUGGUGGCGCCUGCUAUCCCAGCUACUUGGGAGGCUGAGGCAGAAUUGCUUGAACCCGGGAGGCAGAGGUUGCAGUGAGCUGAGAUCACACCACUGCACUCCAGCCUGGGUGACAGAGCGAGUAUCCAUCUCAAAAAAAAAAAAAAAAAAAAGCCUGAGAGAGAAAUCAAGCAAUAUGCCCCAAAUUACACUACUAGCAAAUAACAAAAUCAAAAUUCAAUCCCAAGUCUCAAUUUUCUUUUCAAAUUCUUCACUUACUAUAUCCGUUUCCUGUUGCUGCUGUAGCACGUUACUGUGCACUUUCUCACGGUGCAGGAGAUGAGAAGUCUGAAAUCAAGGAGUCAGCAAGGCCACAGUCCCUCCAGAGGCUCCAGGAGAGAAUCCAUUCCUUGCCUCUUCUGGCUGUCAAAAUUCUGUGGCUUGGAGCCGCAUGGCUCCAAUGUCUGCCUCCAAGGUCACACGGCUUCCUCCUCUUCUGUCUGUGUGAAGUCUCCCUCUGCCUCUGUCUUAUAAAGACACUUGUGAUUGCAUUUAGGAUACCCCUAGAGAAUCCAGGAUAAUUGCCUCAUCCCAAGAUCCUUAACUUUACAUCUGUAAAGUCUUUUUUUUUUUUUUUUUUUUGCCAUAUAAGGUAACACUCACAGGUCCAGGGUUAAGAUGUGGAUAUCUUUUGGAGAGCCUAACACACACAUCUUAAAAAGAGAAUUUGUGCUCAGGUCCCCAGGGCCAAGACAAGGCGUGCUCUCCAGCACAGUCAUGCCAAUUACAACACUCAGGCAAAGCCCAAGGGGUGCUGGGGUCCUUUACAAGAUGCAGUCACUUUUGUCUGGAUCUGGACCUUAUAACCUGAGCCUAGUGCAGCAGAGGGGGUUGGAGGAGUGAGGACUGGAUGGGCCAGAUGCCAGGAAGGUAAAAAGAUAAAUGCUGAUUUGUCAGAUAUGAGUGCUUGGUGACUGUAGGGUUCCUGAAAACAGAAGGAAGAGAGAGGAAGGAAAUAUGUUUCAUGAAUAUAAAAAGAAUUUAAGUAUUCACUUUAACCAAGUGAUCAGGCUUAGUGUCACCAAUAUGAAAAAAAAAAGGUGACAUUGUUCACUUCUGGUGUGAUUCAAUAAGAUACUCAACAUCACCUGUUCAACACUCUUAACAAAGCUAAAAAGUAAAUAAAUAAAUAAAGGUUAAAUCACUUGGAAACCAUCAGACAAAUCCAGAAUGUGGGACAUUUUAUGAAACAACUGUCUUGGAUGCUUCAAAAUAUUUCAGUACCAUGAAAAAAAUCUGAGGAGAUUGUUCUAAAUUAAAAGGCACUAAAGACACAUAGACCAAAGUAGCACUUGAACCUUAAUUGGAUCCUGGGUGGUGGUGGUGGUGGUUGUUGUUGUUGUUUUUCAUUUUUUUAUUAUUAUACUUUAAGUUUUAGGGUACAUGUGCACAACCUGCAGGUUUGUUACAUAUGUAUACAUGUGCCAUGCUGGUGUGCUGCACCCAUUAACUCGUCAUUUAGCAUUAGGUAUAUCUCCUAAUGCUAUCCCUCCCCCCUCCCCCCACCCCACAACAGUCCCUGGUGUGGUGUGUGAUGUUCCCCUUCCUGUGUCCAUGUGUUCUCAUUGUUCAAUUCCCACCUAUGAGUGAGAACAUGCGGUGUUUGGUUUUUUUGUCCUUGCGAUAGUUUGCUGAGAAUGAUGGUUUCCAGCUUCAUCCAUGUCCCUACAAAGGACAUGAACUCAUCAUUUUUUAUGGCUGCAUAGUAUUCCAUGGUGUAUAUGUGCCACAUUUUCUUGAUCCAGUCUAUCAUUGCUGGCUGGACAUUUAGGUUGGUUCCAAGUCUUUGCUAUUGUGAAUAGUGCCGCAAUAAACAUACGUGUGCAUGUGUCUUUAUAGCAGCACGAUUUAUAAUCCUCUGGGUACAUACCCAGUAAUGGGAUGGCUGGGUCAAAUGGUAUUUCUAGUUCUAGAUCCCUGAGGAACCGCCACACUGACUUCCACAAUGGUUUUAAAAAAACAAAAAAAACAGCUAUUAAGGGCAUUCUGGGAACAAUUAGGAAAAUAUAAAUAGGAACUAUUUUAUCAUAGGAUAUUGAAUUAACAUUAAUUUUCUUUUUUUAAAAUACAUGUUAGCAGCAGAUUUGUAUUAGAUGGAGGAUAACAAGGGUUAGGUAAGCAGUAACAAAUGGCAAGUACAGCCAUGCUACAGAGGAGUGAAGGCAUUACUGGGUAUGGGAAUGGGCACUUAUGAAAUCUAAGGGUCAGGUCUCCUGACGAACUCUGACCACCCAGUAAGCUCUUCUCCUUGGCACGCAAUAUGACCAGUGCUGGCAUGAAAGCGUCUACAGUAGCUAGUUCAACUUGGCCAACCGUUCUUCCAGUUCUGGUCGAGCUUUGAAUCUUCCCUU